UCCUACUUAACGUAGGCAGUCCCUCUAGAGUGCCCAACUUAAUGCUGGCAACUAAAGGCAAGGGUUGCGCUCGUUGCGGGACUUAACCCAACAUCUCACGACACGAGCUGACGACAGCCAUGCAGCACCUGUGAUAGCGCCCGAAGGCUAUGACAUCUCUGCCAUAUUCACUACCAUGUCAAACCCGGGUAAGGUUUUUCGCGUUGCAUCGAAUUGAACCACAUGCUCCACCGCUUGUGCGGGCCCCCGUCAAUUUCUUUGAGUUUUAAUCUUGCGACCGUACUUCCCAGGCGGAACACUUAACGCGUUAGCUUCGGCACUGAAGGGGUCAAUACCUCCAACACCAAGUGUUCAUCGUUUACGGCGUGGACUAC
rnacentral:misc_RNA from 1 species